UGCCACAUUUUGGAAGCAGUGAGGAGAGCCUGAGGGAGGUCUUGCUGCAGGAGUGCUGGUGGUCCUGGUCAGGCAAUGUGCAGUAGCUGCUUCCCACCUGCAUGUGGGCUCUUUGCAGGUUCCUCAUGACUGUCCUUGGAGAGCCCACAGCCACUCAGGCAUCUUUCCAGUAACAAGGAGCGAUACACAGACCUUCAGAUGUGGAGAAGAGGUGAAGCCAGGCUGGCAGCCACAGCACAAGACCUCAUAACCUCAGCUCCCAGACCCACUACUAGUUCCACUGCUGGUCCUGAGCAGCAUUAUCUGCAGGGCUGAAUGUGCUGCUGGUAGAAGGCUGAGAUGGGAGAUAGCAGAAGUUCAUGACUGCCAGUAGCAAAUCCUGUGGGAAAAUCAAAGGCAGAGUUGUUAAGGAUCAUCUUCUCAGAACCACGACUGGGAAUGGUGAGCCCUGCAGCGUCCACCUUGUAGGUGGGUGAGAUGGGGU
rnacentral:lncRNA from 12 species